rnacentral:sRNA from 1 species
UUUUUGUUUCUACGAAGGAGAUUCGAACCUACGACUUCAAAUAAGCCAGGUUCGACAGCCGAGCAGAGCGAGGCUGAACGUGGGAGCAUAGCGACCACGACCCGAAGGGCGAGGCGUAGCCGAGUAAUCCUACAUGGCCCACCA